rnacentral:tRNA from 1 species
GGCUGCUUAGCUCAGUCAGUUGAGUGUGAUGCUGAUAAUACCAAGGUCGCGGGUUCAAUCCCCGUACGGUCC